rnacentral:rRNA from 1 species
GACGAACGCUGGCGGCGUGCUUAACACAUGCAAGUCGAACGAGAGGAGAAGGAAGCUUGCUUCUUUCAAAUCUAGUGGCAAACGGGUGAGUAACACGUAAACAACCUGCCUUCAGGAUGGGGACAACAGACGGAAACGACUGCUAAUACCGAAUGACGUUUCCUGGUCGCAUGACCUGGAAACCAAAGGCCGGGCAACCGGUCACUGAAGGAUGGGCCUGCGUCUGAUUAGCUAGUUGGUGGGGUAACGGCCCACCAAGGCGACGAUGCGUAGGGGUUCUGAGAGGGUGAACGGCCACAUUGGGACUGAGACACGGCCCAAACUCCUACGGGAGGCAGCAGUGGGGAAUAUUGCACAAUGGGGGAAACCCUGAUGCAGCGACGCCGCGUGAGUGAAGAAGUACUUUCGGUAUGUAAAGCUCUAUCAGCAGGGAAGAAACAAUGACGGUACCUGACUAAG